GAUGAACGCUGGCGGCGUGCCUAAUACAUGCAAGUCGAGCGAACGGACGAGAAGCUUGCUUCUCUGAUGUUAGCGGCGGACGGGUGAGUAACACGUGGAUAACCUCCCUAUAAGACUGGGAUAACUUCGGGAAACCGGAGCUAAUACCGGAUAAUAUUUUGAACCGCAUGGUUCAAAAGUGAAAGACGGUCUUGCUGUCACUUAUAGAUGGAUCCGCGCUGCAUUAGCUAGUUGGUAAGGUAACGGCCUACCAAGGCAACGAUGCAUAGCCGACCUGAGAGGGUGAUCGGCCACACUGGAACUGAGACACGGUCCAGACUCCUACGGGAGGCAGCAGUAGGGAAUCUUCCGCAAUGGGCGAAAGCCUGACGGAGCAACGCCGCGUGAGUGAUGAAGGUCUUCGGAUCGUAAAACUCUGUUAUUAGGGAAGAACAUAUGUGUAAGUAACUGUGCACAUCUUGACGGUACCUAAUCAGAAAGCCACGGCUAACUACGUG
rnacentral:rRNA from 1 species